AAGUCGUAACAAGGUUUCCGUAGGUGAACCUGCGGAAGGAUCAUUCAUAAUAAGUGUUUUAUGGCACUUUUUAAAAAUCCAUAUCCACCUUGUGUGCAAUGUUAUCUCAUUUUUGAGUGAGAGAAUUUUUUGUUCUCUCUCUCAGUCUUGGGAUUAUAUAUCAACAUAUCUUUAACCAGUUUGUCUGAAUAUCUAUUUCUGAAUAAACAUAAUUCAAAAAUACAACUUUCAACAACGGAUCUCUUGGCUCUC
rnacentral:misc_RNA from 1 species